rnacentral:rRNA from 1 species
GAUGAACGCUGGCGGCGUGCCUAAUACAUGCAAGUCGAGCGAACAGACGAGGAGCUUGCUCCUCUGACGUUAGCGGCGGACGGGUGAGUAACAUGUGGAUAAUCUACCUAUACGACUGGGAUAACUUCGGGAAACCGGAGCUAAUCCCGAAUAAUUAAUUAAACCGUAUGGUUUAAUUAUGAAGUACGGUUUCGUUGCUACCUAUGGAUGCUUCCUCGCCGAAUUAGCUAGUUGGUAUGGUAACGUUUUACCAAGGCAACGCUGCGAAGCCAACCUGAGAGGGUAGUCGGCCACACGGGAACGAGGAACCGCUCCAGACUCCUACGGGAGGCAGCAGUAGGGAAUCUUCCGCAAUGGGCGAAAGCCUGACGGAGCAACGCCGCGUAAGUGAUGAAGGUCUUCGGAUCUUAAAACUCUGUUAUUAGGGAGGAACAAAUGUGUAAGUAACUAUGCACGUCUUGACGGUACCUUAUCAGAAAGGCACGGCUAACUACGUG